rnacentral:lncRNA from 1 species
CUUUUGGUGAUGCUAGAGGUCAUCGUAUGGAUGGUCUUGUAUAUCUAACAGAUCUCAGAACUCAGCCAAUGAGAAGUAAUCUUGGAAUGGAUGUAUGGAAUCCUGAUGAAGAUAUUAUACCUCCACCAAAUGUGAUGGAAGGACCUGUAGAUAGAUUCCCAAAUGAAGAUUUUCCUGGGCCAGGGAAAAGAUUAAGAAUUUAUGAUGAUGACCAUUCUCACAAUGAUUUACAAGGACAGAUACAGUUGAGAGAUUUUGAUUUCAUUAACAAGGGACCUGGACAAAGACGAAGACCAUUUCAUGACCACCAAUCUCAGGACGAUUUACAAGCGCCAAUGCAAAUGAGAGAUUGGGACUACAACAGGGGACCCGGACAAAGGCGAAGACCUUUUUCUGACCACCAGUUUUAUGAUGACUAUCANACGAAGACCUUUCCCUGACCACCAGUUUUAUGAUGACUAUCAAGAAGACAUGCAGCUGAAAGAUCUAGAUUUCAGUAACAAGGGGCCUGGACAAAGACUGAGACCUUUUCAUGGCCACCAGUUUCAUGAUGACUUACAGGGAGACAUGCAGUCAAGAGACUUUGAGUAUGUUAAUAGAGGCCGUGGACAAAGGCAGAGACCCUUUCCUGAUCACCCAUCUCACAGUGACUUACAGGAUGACAUGCAGCUGAAAGAUUUUGACUUUGUUAACAGAGGCCGUGGACAGAGACGAAGGCUUUUCCAUGACCACCAGUCUCAUGAUGAAUUUCAGGCACAGAUGCAGUUGAAGGAUUUAGAUUUCAUCAACAAGGGGCCCGGGCAAAGACUGAGACCUUUUCAUGACUACCAAACGCAUGAUGAGUUACAACCACAGAUACAGUUGGGAGAUUUUGAAUUUGUUAAUAGGGGCCGUGGGCAUAGGCUGAGACCUUUUCAUGACCAUCAGCCUCACAAUGAUAUACAAACAGAGAUGCAGUUGAAAGAUUUUGAUAAUAGGGGUCCUGGACAAAGGCGAAGACCUUUUCAUGACAGUCAAGUUUAUGAUGACCUACAGGAACAGACACAGUUGAAAGAUUUUGAUUUUGUUAAUAAGGGGCAUGGACAAAGACUGCAACCUUUUCAUGACCAUGACGACUUGCCACGUGAAUGGUGUUCAGACAGAAAUCGGUCAUUUUCCUCCCAUGAAAAUUUACCAGACCCUCACUUUUCUUCUUCUCCGUCAUGUCACAGAGAUUACGGAUCUGAUAAUGAUGAUUUCAGUAGAAGUUACAGUAAUCGGCCUAGCUGUCCUGAAGAUAAUAGGAGAACACAUCCUUCAGAUGAAUUUAACAGAGGAGGAAAAAACAGAUUUGCACCAUAUUCUUCACGCACAAUGCAUCUGUCCUCAUCCAUACACCAGGAAGAUGAUUCAACUGAUUAUGAAAGGAAACCUUUUCAAGGUGAAUUUACAAGAGAUAUGGAGCAAGGCAAAAGAUUACCCAUUGUAACAGUUGAUUACAAUUAUGGUUUGCCACUAGAUUACAGACCUGAAGAGGAAGAGAGAACACAUUAUGAUUUACCUCCAAGAGAGCGCUACAACUGGAACUGAAUAAAAAGAAAGCAUUUGCUCUGAUUAAACCUGUAUUUACCCAUUUUACUUUGUAUGUGGACCAAUUUUUUUUACGAAUUAGAAAAUUCAAGUUUCAAUGUUAAGAGAACUUGUCUCUACUGUAAGACUAGUUUCUACUGAUGUGUGGUUCUUUACAUUUAUGAAAUAGUGUGUGUUAAGUAUAUUUGGAGACAAAUCCUCAACACAUGGUGAAAUUAAAAUAGUUCUUGUUUCUAGUGAAAUUGGAACCCUAUAUCCUAAAGUAAACAGCUGACUGAUAGUGGUUGUGUUUCUGUUUAACUUUCUUUAAAUGCAAAUAAUUUCAGGAUGCAAAACUUGUAAUAAAAGCUAAAACACUGCACCGUAAACUAGACUA